rnacentral:rRNA from 1 species
GACGAACGCUGGCGGCGUGCUUAACACAUGCAAGUCGAACGGAAAGGCCCUGCUUUUGUGGGGUGCUCGAGUGGCGAACGGGUGAGUAACACGUGAGUAACCUGCCCUUGACUUUGGGAUAACUUCAGGAAACUGGGGCUAAUACCGGAUAGGAGCUCCUGCUGCAUGGUGGGGGUUGGAAAGUUUCGGCGGUUGGGGAUGGACUCGCGGCUUAUCAGCUUGUUGGUGGGGUAGUGGCUUACCAAGGCUUUGACGGGUAGCCGGCCUGAGAGGGUGACCGGCCACAUUGGGACUGAGAUACGGCCCAGACUCCUACGGGAGGCAGCAAUGGGGAAUAUUGCACAAUGGGCGGAAGCCUGAUGCAGCAACGCCGCGCGCGGGAUGACGGCCUUCGGGUUGUAAACCGCUUUCGCCUGUGACGAAGCGUGAGUGACGGUAAUGGGUAAAGAAGCACCGGCUAACUACGUG